UCCAAAAUUAUUUAUUAGCUAAUAAUAAACACAUGUAACCAUUUAUAAGCAUAUCUAAUCCAUAUUAUUGCGAAUCCUAAGCAACACUUUUGAUCUGAAUUUUAAGUGGUAAAUAAAUGUGUUUAUUAACAGAGAAUGUUAAAAAAUAAACGGGAAUAAGUUCAUGUAACACUGAUUUACCGUUUGUCCUUGAUCGUUUACUUUGCAUGUCUUCCUCUUCCAGUUUUCGCCGCGAGCAUCGAAAAGCGCACGUGUUUUUUAUUGCGCACCGCGAAAUGUAGUUUUUUGAAUUUAAUUUUGUUUAGAUGGUGAAAAAUGUUGUUAAUUGAAUAAAGGCGAUUACCGGUCGUGUGAAAAGCAGCGUUUGUGCCUAUUUCUUCCUAAAUUCGCGGUAAUUUUGCGUUUUCUUUUCACUCGCGCGCAAAAUAUGUUUGUAUGUAUAGCAUCUGCAUGCUAACAUCCAUGUUGGCGUAUGUACAUAUGUUUGUAUGCAAGUGUGUGUAUUCCGCCAAAAGAUCAAUUUGUUUUUUUAUAUUUUUUUAUGGUGAACCAGUGAUUGUGAAAAUAUAUUCUAAAUAUUAGAGCGCAUCCAAUAUUAAUAUGCAGAGCCUUACUAUACAUCUCAUGUUUUAAUCUAUUUAAUAAAUUGUAUUACAGAAAUAAUGCUUUUAAUUACAUUACUCGAAAAUUAACAGAGGAUGUAAAAACAACAGUGGGGAACAAAGAGAGUGAGCUUUACCGUUAGUCCUUGGUCGUUCUCUGUUCAAGUCUUCCUCUUUCCUUUUUGCUUUGCGAUCAUCGAUAAAAUCACGUGUUUUUUAACUGCGCGCCGAGAAAUUAAGUUUAUUGAAUUUAGCAUUGUUUAAAAAGUUAAAAUUGUUAUUUAUUCGUUACAAGUGUUUACCGGCAUUGCGAUGCGAAGCGUUCAGAAGUUUCUCUUUCUUAAUUCGCGGUAAUUUUGCGUUUUCAAUCGCGCGUGAAAUAUGUUUGUAUGUAUAGCAAGUGCAUGUUAACAUACAUAUGUAUGUAGGUAUAGCAAGUGCAUAUUAACAUACAUAUGUAUGUAUGUAGCUGUUUGCGUUUUACACCAAAUGAGCUUCAGUGUUAUUUUUUUUUUUUUUUUUGUGGUGUACCAGUGUUAAAAAAGUGGCAAUAGUGGUUAUAUUCUCUUAUCCCUCAAUUUGUUUUAAUAUUUGUUUUCUGUGUAAGGCUGUGCUAAAAUAAAUAUUAAAGUGAUCCUCUCGCAAAUCGAAAACGUGAUAGUCAAUUAAAUGGAUAACACCGAGAUGCAUGCACACAAGGAACAAACACGACACUGGUCCCCUAAAGAUUGUGCUACAGGAAAGUUUUACCUAUAAACGUAGGCUAUGCGAAAUAAAGUAGUGCAGCAUUUAAGCGCUGCAGUUGGAGGCAAUUUUUCAUGCGUAUUAAGGGGAAAGGGCCAGGACGAAGACCAAGACCAAGGAUGAAGGACGCAGGACGCAGGACGGAAAGCUAACGAGCCGCAUGGCAGACAAAACUUUGCUGAAUUUAUCAACGAGUGUGUGUUUCUGUAUCUUUUGCAUUUAUGAAAAUGUAAUAAUAACAAAAGACGCAAUGCAGACGCGGCAGAAGAAAACUGGAAGCAAACACAGGACGUUCAGGACGAAAACGAAGGGCGGCGGCAACCAGGAUGUGCGGCAUAUGUGUGCGUGGCAACUCUAGACAAACAUAUGGCUCUCCGAAUGCACAAUGUAUCUGCAUCCGCAAGUGCUAUCUGCAUCUCUG